rnacentral:rRNA from 1 species
UGGCUCAGAACGAACGCUGGCGGCAGGCCUAACACAUGCAAGUCGAGCGAGGUGCAAUACCUAGCGGCGGACGGGUUAGUAACGCGUGGGAACGUGCCCAAAGGGUACGGAAUAGCCUCGGGAAACUGAGAGUAAUACCGUAUGUNCCCGUUCGGGGGAAAGAUUUAUCGUCCUUUGGAUCGGCCCGCGUUGGAUUAGGUAGUUGGUGGGGUAAAGGCCCACCAAGGCGACGAUCAGUAGCGGGUCUGAGAGGAUGAUCCGCCACACUGGGACUGAGACACGGCCCAGACUUCUACGGGAGGCAGCAGUGGGGAAUAUUGGACAAUGGGCGCAAGCCUGAUCCAGCCAUGCCGCGUGAGUGAAGAAGGCCUUCGGGUUGUAAAGCUCUUUCGGCCGGGAAGAAAUCGCACAGGUUAAUACCCUGUGUGGAUGACGGUACCGGAAUAAGAAGCACCGGCUAACUACGUG